rnacentral:lncRNA from 1 species
CUCGCUACAACUCUCCGGCAGUUUCAUCACAUACACCUGAUAUAGACCGUCUUUAUUUGGCAUCAGAUCAUCUCACUUGCCCCCCCCCCCCCCCCCCCUAGAGAAUUUGACAACGUGAUUUUAAAACUUUCGCCUUCUUUCUGAACCACUCUCCCAUUUUCGAGUACAUUUGCUUCUUUCGUCGGCGAAAUCGUUGUGCUUGCAAUCUUUACGUUCUUCUUUGCAUGUGAGGACAUAUAGGUCCCUUCCAAUUGCACGGCAUAUACACGAUUUUCUUUGUCUUUUGGACUGUAAUGCAAAACGCAGACGUCCGGCAAGGCGUUUAAAAAUUUGUUUAAAGACUUAAAUGAGUUAAAUCCAUAGUUUUUCCACAUUGAUCACUCGCCGG